rnacentral:rRNA from 1 species
GAUGAACGCUAGCGGCAGGCUUAACACAUGCAAGUCGAGGGGCAACACGGGUAGCAAUACCUGGUGGCGACCGGCGCAAGGGUGCGUAACGCGUGAGCAACAUACCCUAUACAGGGGGAUAAUCCAGGGAAACUUGGUCUAAUAUCCCAUAGGAUUUACAGAUGUCAUCAUCUAUAAAUUAAAGCUUCGGUGGUAUAGGAUUGGCUCGCGUGACAUUAGCUAGAUGGUGGGGUAACGGCCUACCAUGGCCAUGAUGUCUAGGGGUUCUGAGAGGAAGACCCCCCACACUGGGACUGAGACACGGCCCAGACUCCUACGGGAGGCAGCAGUGAGGAAUAUUGGACAAUGGAUGGAAAUCUGAUCCAGCCAUGCCGCGUGCAGGGAAGACGGCCCUAUGGGUUGUAAACUGCUUUUAUAUGGGAGCAAUAAGGUCUACGCGUAGACCGAUGAGAGUACCAUAUGAAUAAGCAUCGGCUAACUCCG